GAUGAACGCUGGCGGCGUGCCUAAUACAUGCCAGUCGAGCGAACAGAUGAGGAGCUUGCUCCUCUGACGUUAGCGGCGGACGGGUGAGUAACACGUGGAUAACCUACCUAUAAGACUGGGAUAACUUCGGGAAACCGGAGCUAAUACCGGAUAAUAUAUUGAACCGCAUGGUUCAAUAGUGAAAGACGGUUUUGCUGUCACUUAUAGAUGGAUCCGCGCCGCAUUAGCUAGUUGGUAAGGUAACGGCUUACCAAGGCAACGAUGCGUAGCCGACCUGAGAGGGUGAUCGGCCACACUGGAACUGAGACACGGUCCAGACUCCUACGGGAGGCAGCAGUAGGGAAUCUUCCGCAAUAGGCGAAAGCCUGACGGAGCAACGCCGCGUGAGUGAUGAAGGUCUUCGGAGCGUAAAACUCUGUUAUUAGGGAAGAACAAAUGUGUAAGUAACUAUGCACGUCUUGACGGUACCUAAUCAGAAAGCCACGGCUAACUACGUG
rnacentral:rRNA from 1 species